CAAUCACGGCGGCUUUGGACGAAUUCAAACCCCGCAAGCUCUGCCGCUGCCGGUGCUGCUCCUCUCCUCCCCGGCUCCCCCGGAUGGGCUCGGGGAGCUCCGGGGCGGCCGCGGCCCCUCUCCGCCGCCCGGAGCUCAGGAACCCGCUGCAGCGUGAGUGAAGCGCAGCUGCCUUCUCUGUGUGCUCUCCAGGAGACGGGAGGCUGCUCCUUCCCUCGAGAUGGCAAGUGCUGAAGCUGGGAGUAGCUGUGGCUGAGCGGCAGGGCCCCCCGACCCAUGCCAGCCAGGAAUCAGCAGCAACAUUUACUGAAAAAGGCAAUGUAAGCCCAGCAAAGACCUCAGCUGUGUCGUGAUCUCCGUAUAACAGCGCCAGGCACAAUCCUGCACCUCCCAGAAGCGUGCCCAGCUGCCUCUGUCCCAGUGGGGCUCAGCAGACCAGCCUCAGGCUGUGGGCUUGGGAGCACAGAAGUGGGACGACUGAGGGACAGCCACACGUCUGCGACACCUGCAACCCAAGAAAGCUGGACCCUGGAGAUCCUUGUGCAGUGACGUGGCUGUUUGGACACAGCCUGCUCCUGCUCCUGCUGCAAUAGCGAUGCUAGUGCCCCCAUGCAGCUGCAGUGAGGAGCUCUUGACCUGUGCAAGAGUGAAUCCCAGGCUCCUCAGCUCAGCUUAGCAGUGCCAGUGGCUAUGGAGUGACCUGUGUGCAGGUGAUGCUCGGGGUGUGUGGGCACAGCAGGAGGCUGGAGCUUGCUGCCUGAGCCUAAAUGCCCCCUGUCCACGCACUCCUUGCAGCCAAGAGUGCCUCACCUCUGCCAUGAAUGAUGCAUCGACAAUGGAUUAUGAACUCCUGUCCCCCUCCUUGGUCGAGCACCCGGCCAGCACUGCGGGCAUGGAUGCUGAGCAAAAAACCGUCUUUGCCUUUGUCAUCUUCCUCCUGGUCUUCUUGGUGAUGCUGAUGGUGCGCUGCUUCCGCAUCCUGCUGGACCCCUACAGCCGCAUGCCUGCCUCCUCCUGGACUGACCACAAGGAGGGGUUGGAGAGGGGCCAGUUCGAUUAUGCCUUGGUGUAGAGGGCAGGGAUGGGGCGAGCCUGGGUGCUCUGCGUGCCUCCCAUCCCAGCUGGCCCCGGCCCCGGCCCCCCCUUCCUCUGUGGUGUUGCCCCGGGCCAGCAGGGAUGCUCCGAGCAGGGAGGUGAGGUCGGGCUCUUGUCUGGGGUGGGUUUUCUAGGGGUUUCUCUCUUUUCUAAGCACUUUUCAGUUCUCUUCGCAGUCUGCAGCACUCUUGGCGAGAUGUGUUGGAGGGGUGAUACGACUCCCCAUGGUCCUUGCUGCCUGCCGUGCCCCUCGGCAGUGUUGCAUGCUGCAGUGAGGGGCAGGAGCCGAUGGGAUGGGGCAUGGGGGACCUGCCCUCAGACACAGCCCACAGAGCUCCUGGUCUGGGUGGCUCUGCCUGGUGCCAGGCCAGAACUUUAACCGCCCACCUCCUCCUGCCUCUCACGUUGCCCUCGUCUGUGUCCUCUGGGGAGUGCUGACCAUGGUCCAGUGUGUGUGUGCGUGUGUCCCUGUAGCUGAGCUUUGUCUGUGAGGUGGUUUGUAGGCACCUGACCCAAGUGCUGGCUUUGUUCCUCUCUGUGUGGCAGCCCCAAGUGCCCCUCACAAGGAAGGGGCGGGUGGAGACCCUGUGUGCAGCCCCCUUUUGGCAUCCAGCCCUGCAGCCUGCUCUCUGCUUUACACCGUAGUGACCUGUCCCUGCUGAAUUGUGAAAAUGAUCUGAGCAAGGCGCAAUCCUGCAGCCACUUGCAGACCUUCCUGGGUGGCCCUGCUGGGAUCAAAAGUCCCUCACAACACUUGGGAGAUGCCCUUCAGCCAGCCCAGGCCUGGCAGUACCUUGCAGUACCCCACUCCAGGAAGUCCCUGCUCCAGCAGGAUCUGGGCAGCCUUCUGGUGUCGGGGUGUGCUGGGGAUGGUGGGCCCUGCCCUGGCCAUCCUGCGCCGAGGUAGCAGAAGGGCUCUGUAAGUAGCUGAGGGAAAAAUAAGGCUGUGCUUCCACCCCUCUGUGAGAUCCAUACCUUUUGAGUAGGGGUGCUGCAGCUAGUCACAGAUCUGGCUAGCAAAAGCUGUGGUGGGUUAUGGUGUGGGACAGAUAGAGGGUUUGUACGAAGGGAUUUGAGCCCAUGGGGGAGAACUUCCUUGUGCACCAUGGAAAUAAAGCUGCACUGUGCUAACCCCA